GACGAACGCUGGCGGCGUGGAUUAGGCAUGCAAGUCGAACGGUAUCAUCCUUUCGGGGGUGAGAGAGUGGCGAACUGGUGAGUAACACGUAGGUUAUCUACCCUCAAGACGGGGACAACCCAGGGAAACUUGGGCUAAUACCGGAUGUGAGCAACUUUUAGUUGUUUGAAAGGUGGCGUAAGCUGUCGCUUGGGGAUGAGCCUGCGUCCUAUUAGUUAGUUGGUGAGGUAACGGCUCACCUAGGCAAUGAUAGGUAGGCGGCCUUAACGGGUGGUCGCCCACACUGGGGAUUGAGAUACGGCCCAGACUCCUACGGGAGGCAGCAGUCGAGAAUAGUCUACAAUGGUCGGAAGACUGAUAGUGCGACGCCGCGUGAACGAUGAAUCCCUUCGGGGUGUAAAGUUCUUUUAUAUGUGAGCAGUGCUUCUUAUAUUAACAGUAUGGGGAGAGAGAUAUUAGCAUAUGAAUAAGCAACGGCUAACUCCGUGCCAGCAGCCGCGGUAAA
rnacentral:rRNA from 1 species